GAACGCUGGCGGCGUGCCUAAUACAUGCAAGUCGAACGGUCUUUCUAUGGAAGCUUGCUUCCACUGAGAAGAUAGUGGCGAACGGGUGAGUAACACGUGGGUAACCUGCCCAUAAGAGGGGGGAUAACAUCCGGAAACGGGUGCUAAUACCGCAUAGUUUUCUUGAUCGCAUGAUCGGGAAAGGAAAGACGGCCUUUGUGCUGUCGCUUAUGGAUGGACCCGCGGCGUAUUAGUUAGUUGGUGAGGUAACGGCUCACCAAGACGAUGAUACGUAGCCGACCUGAGAGGGUGAUCGGCCACAUUGGGACUGAGACACGGCCCAAACUCCUACGGGAGGCAGCAGUAGGGAAUCUUCCGCAAUGGACGAAAGUCUGACGGAGCAACGCCGCGUGAGUGAAGAAAGGUUUUCGGAUCGUAAAACUCUGUUGUCAGAGAAGAACAAGUUGGAGAGUAACUGCUCCAGCCUUGACGGUAUCUGACCAGAAAGCCACGGCUAACUACGUGCCAGCCGCGGC
rnacentral:rRNA from 1 species